rnacentral:lncRNA from 1 species
UCAACAAUCAGUUUGGGCUGACAGGCUAGAAUUGCUUUUAAAGUGGGCUUAGCUGUGACUGCUACCUGGACUGGGUAUGGAACCGGUUGUGAGCCUGGCACACACACAGGCACAGCUCAGCUCCCUUUUAAUUCCAAAUGCAGCGCUUCAUUGCUGCUGUAAAAGCCAUCUUAAAAAAAAAUUAUCCGUUUCUCCUCUCCCUAGUGCCAAAAAAAAAGACAACUUCCUUUCCUUCUUCAAAUAGGUACGGUUACCAAAACCCAGGAACUGAUUGUCGCUGUCCCUUGUCGUCGCCAGCCGCUGCCGUUCUUCGCCGGUGCCUUUACCUACUAGGGUCACGACCACCGCUACCUUCCGUCGCUGCUCACUUUUUUCCUGUUGUUUGUCUCCCAUUUUUAUUCCAAAGGACGUCUCCCGUUUGCAUUCAAACACAAGACAAAUCAAGUAGCAGCUUUCAAGCUGUCGACGAUCUCAAUUGCCUCCACCGAAGUAGGUCAUAAGCAUUACUGCCUUCCACCCCUGUGUAUUUCACCAAAAUGCCUAAGUCGCCUCUUCUCUACUAACCGAAAGGUCCCAAAAUAAAACUUCUGUUUAAAUCCAGAAACCCCAAAGAAAAUUAACUUCUGCCACCUUCUGGGUUUUGCACUCUUGUUGUUUUCUUAUGGCUUGACUCCUUGCUUUUGGGCUGUUUUUGUGCUUGACUAUUGGUUUCUGAUAAAAUUGGGUGGUUGUGGUGUUUUAGUGAUUGUGCACGGCUUCUGUGUUUUUUUCUCUGUAAUUAUUCUUGUUCAAUUGUGGCUGGGAAUGGAUUUUCUAAGAAUUAGGCUGGAAAUUGGAGUGAAUUGCUUCUGUCUAUUGUGGUGGUUUUGCAGGGAAUUAGGCUCGGCUAUGGAAGAUGGUGGCAAAAUUGGCUUGGUGGAAACUGGUGGUGGCACUGGUGGUUGCAAUUGAUUGCUUCCUGUAAUCAUUUUUUCUCCUCUGUUUUCUCCAUGAUUUUCACUGUCAAUUGCUGUUGUUUCUUUCUGGUGAUUCAGUGUAAGCUUAAAUUUAUUUAUAGGACGAGGGAGUGAGUGUCAGAUCACUUCAAAUUCAGUUUGAAACUGAGGAUUAUCACCUGAUUUAUCACCAAAGCCAAUCUUUUGUUUUCUCUUUUCUUUUU